rnacentral:rRNA from 1 species
GACGAACGCUGGCGGCGUGCUUAACACAUGCAAGUCGAACGGAAAGGCCCUGCUUUUGUGGGGUGCUCGAGUGGCGAACGGGUGAGUAACACGUGAGUAACCUGCCCUUGACUUUGGGAUAACUUCAGGAAACUGGGGCUAAUACAGGAUAGGAGCUCCUGCUGCAUGGUGGGGGUUGGAAAGUUUCGGCGGUUGGGGAUGGACUCGCGGCUUAUCAGCUUGUUGGUGGGGUAGUGGCUUACCAAGGCUUUGACGGGUAGCCGGCCUGAGAGGGUGAACGGGCACAUUGGGACUGAGAUACGGCCCAGACGCCUACGGGAGGCAGCAGUGGGGAAUAUUGCACAAUGGGCGGAAGCCUGAGGCAGCAACGCCGCGUGCGGGAUGACGGCCUUCGGGUUGUAAACCGCUUUCGCCUGUGACGAAGCGUGAGUGACGGUAAUGGGUAAAGAAGCACCGGCUAACUACGUG